rnacentral:rRNA from 1 species
GAUGAACGCUGGCGGCGUGCCUAAUACAUGCAAGUCGAGCGAACAGACGAGGAGCUUGCUCCUCUGACGUUAGCGGCGGACGGGUGAGUAACACGUGGAUAACCUACCUAUAAGACUGGGAUAACUUAGGGAAACCGGAGCUAAUACCGGAUAAUAUAUUGAACCGCAUGGUUCAAUAGUGAAAGACGGUUUUGCUGUCACUUAUAGAUGGAUCCGCGCCGCAUUAGCUAGUUGGUAAGGUAACGGCUUACCAAGGCAACGAUGCGUAGCCGACCUGAGAGGGUGAGCGGCCACACUGGAACUGAGACACGGUCCAGACUCCUACGGGAGGCAGCAGUAGGGAAUCUUCCGCAAUGGGCGAAAGCCUGACGGAGCAACGCCGCGUGAGUGAUGAAGGUCUUCGGAUCGUAAAACUCUGUUAUUAGGGAAGAACAAAUGUGUAAGUAACUAUGCACGUCUUGACGGUACCUAAUCAGAAAGCCACGGCUAACUACGUG